rnacentral:misc_RNA from 1 species
UGGUUCUGGCAUCGAUGAAGAACGCAGCAAAAUGCGAUAAGUAAUGUGAAUUGCAGAAUUCAGUGAAUCAUCGAAUCUUUGAACGCACAUUGCGCCCGCCAGUAUUCUGGCGGGCAUGCCUGUUCGAGCGUCAUUUCAACCCUCAAGCCCAGCUUGGUGUUGGGAGCUGCAGUCCUGCUGCACUCCCCAAAUACAUUGGCGGUCACGUCGAGCUUCCAUAGCGUAGUAAUUUACACAUCGUUACUGGUAAUCGUCGCGGCCACGCCGUUAAACCCCAACUUCUGAAUGUUGACCUCGGAUCAGGUAGGAAUACCCGCUGA